UCCUGGAGCUGAGCCAUCUAACAAACACAGGAAACAUUCUGGGAGAUAAAACGCUCCACCAAGCAUUCUGAGACAAAGGGUUUGUUUAUAAGAUGGGGAUUUUUCACAGUAUUUUAAGUUUCACUAGACAAUAGACGGGUGCUUUCCUGAGUGAGGAUGCCUUCCGUCUUUUCUAUCACUCCACCAUCUUUUCCUCAUGACUAAACUGAGGUGAUAAGAUGAAACACAUCAAACAGGCUUGUUCAUCUCUUUUGUUUAAACGUAAGUUACGCAUGCCAGAAAUAAAACCU